UGCCAGCCGCCGCGGUAAUACGGAGGGGGCUAGCGUUGUUCGGAAUUACUGGGCGUAAAGCGCACGUAGGCGGAUUGGAAAGUUGGGGGUGAAAUCCCGGGGCUCAACCCCGGAACUGCCUCCAAAACUAUCAGUCUAGAGUUCGAGAGAGGUGAGUGGAAUUCCAAGUGUAGAGGUGAAAUUCGUAGAUAUUGGGAAGAACACCAGCGGCGAAGGCGACUCUCUGGACCGUUUCUGACGCUAAGGCUCGAAAGCGUGGGUAGCAAACAGGAUUAGAUA
rnacentral:rRNA from 1 species